CUACACACGUGUUACAAUGGCCGGUACAAAGGGCAGCAAAGCCGCGAGGUGGAGCCAAUCCCAGAAAGCCGGUCUCAGUUCGGAUUGGAGUCUGCAACUCGACUCCAUGAAGUUGGAAUCGCUAGUAAUCGCGGAUCAGCAUGCCGCGGUGAAUACGUUCCCGGGCCUU
rnacentral:rRNA from 1 species